ACUAACAAAUAUAAUGAACAUAUGGAGGUGAAGAAACACUUGCUCAUGUUUAUAAUGGCUACUAAUAGUCUAACACAACUAGCUUCUAUAUAUGGUUUAACCUUCCUCAUUUCAUGGGUCCUAAUAAUGUUUUCUACUUACUAAGAUUUCCUAUUUUUUGGAGGCCUAUGACAAUGUCAAUGGUAAAUGGGGGAAGAAAGGGAUAAACAAAAUUCAAAGCACCCAUUAAGCCCUUGCUAAAAGACACCAAAUAAUAUACUCAACAGCCCAAAGUUCAAUAAGUUUUUGUGCCCUAAUAUUUAUAGGGUAACCAUUUAAAUUAUUUAAGCGAGAAAUUCUAAUGAGGAAAGCAAAGGCACACUUCCCAAAUUUCCUCCUCUAACAAGCACUUUCAUUGAAAAAUACAUCGCUGGCCACCUAACUUGGAACUUGUUGAUCUAUCAGAUUCCACCGUUGAAGAGUUAGAAAGUCACCAGAAUUGCCAUUGCUGUUGCUGGAAUCUUGCCGGGCCACCACUCCUAGAAAUGCCAACUUCCAAUACUUGGAUUUCCAGCAUCUAGACACCUUAAAUUAUUAUCCUCAUGCAUUGUUUUAGGUUCUCUCUCAUUCCCUUUCCCCUCUUCCCUUUCCCAACUUGGCUACUCUAUUUCUAGUUUACCCCUUUUUUUCUUUUUCUCUUUUAAUUACAACAAUACUAAAACAUUUCAAAGAAGUGUUGUUUUCAUCUUUGUUUUAGACAACAAGCUCCCAAUAUGAUAUCUCCAAAAAAAAAGAGCCCUUUUUGG
rnacentral:misc_RNA from 1 species